GAUGAACGCUAGCGGCAGGCUUAAUACAUGCAAGUCGAGGGGCAUCAAGGUACACGAAAGUGUAUUGUUGGCGACCGGCGGACGGGUGAGUAAUAGGUAGGUAACCUACCUCAUACUGAGGCAUAGCUGGGAGAAAUUCCAGGUAAUUCCUCAUGAGGUUAUAUGACACAUGUGAUAUAAUCAAAGGUAUCGCAAGGUACUGGUAUGAGAUGGGCUUACUGACCAUUAGCUAGUUGGUGAGAUAAGAGCUCACCAAGGCGAAGAUGGUUAGGGGUUUUGAGAGAGAGAUCCCCCACAUUGGAACUGAGAUACGGUCCAGACUCCUACGGGAGGCAGCAGUAGGGAAUAUUGGGCAAUGGGGGCGAAGCCUGACCCAGCCAUGCCGCGUGAAGGAAGACGGCCUUAUGGGUUGUAAAACUUCUUUACUAUGCGACUAACUAGAUUUAGAGAUAAAUUCUAUAGAAUGUAGCAUAGCAAAAAAGCACCGGA
rnacentral:rRNA from 1 species